rnacentral:rRNA from 1 species
AUUGAACGCUGGCGGCAGGCCUAACACAUGCAAGUCGAGCGAGCGGCGGACGGGUGAGUAAUGUCUGGGAAACUGCCUGAUGGAGGGGGAUAACUACUGGAAAAGGUAGCUAAUACCGCAUACCAUCAGAUGUGCCCAGAUGGGAGUAGCUAGUAGGUGGGGUAACGGCUCAACUAGGCGACGAUCCCUAGCUGGUCUGAGAGGAUGACCAGCAAAACUGGAACUGAGACACGGUCCAGACUCCUACGUGAGGAAGCAGUGGGGAAGAUUGCACAAUGUGCGCAAGCCUGAUGCAGCCAUGCCGCGUGUGUGAAGAAGGCCUUCGGGGUUUAAAGCACUUUCAGCGGGGAGGCGUUACCCGCAGAAGAAGCACCGGCUAACUCCGUGCCAACAGCCGCGGUAAUAC